rnacentral:rRNA from 1 species
UGGGGAAUAUUGGACAAUGGGCGAAAGCCUGAUCCAGCCAUGCCGCGUGUGUGAAGAAGGUCUUCGGAUUGUAAAGCACUUUAAGUUGGGAGGAAGGGCAGUAAGCGAAUACCUUGCUGUUUUGACGUUACCGACAGAAUAAGCACCGGCUAACUCUGUGCCAGCAGCCGCGGUAAUACAGAGGGUGCAAGCGUUAAUCGGAAUUACUGGGCGUAAAGCGCGCGUAGGUGGUUCGUUAAGUUGAAUGUGAAAGCCCCGGGCUCAACCUGGGAACUGCAUCCAAAACUGGCGAGCUAGUAUAGGGCAGAGGGUCGUGGAAUUUCCUGUGUGGCGGUGAAAUGCGUAGAUAUAGGAAGGAACACCAGUGGCGAAGGCGACCACCUGGGCUCAUACUGACACUGAGGUGCGAAAGCGUGGGGAGCAAACAGGA